CAACAGGGAUUGCCCUAGUAACGGCGAGUGAAGCGGCAACAGCUCAAAUUUGAAAUCUGGCCCCCAGGGCCCGAGUUGUAAUUUGCAGAGGAUGCUUUGGGCGAGGUGCCUUCCGAGUUCCCUGGAACGGGACGCCAUAGAGGGUGAGAGCCCCGUCUGGUCGGACACCGAGCCUGUGUAAAGCUCCUUCGACGAGUCGAGUAGUUUGGGAAUGCUGCUCAAAAUGGGAGGUAUAUGUCUUCUAAAGCUAAAUAUUGGCCAGAGACCGAUAGCGCACAAGUAGAGUGAUCGAAAGAUGAAAAGCACUUUGAAAAGAGGGUUAAACAGUACGUGAAAUUGUUGAAAGGGAAGCGCCUAUGACCAGACUUGGGCCCGGUGAAUCAUCCAGCGUUCUCGCUGGUGCACUUUGCCGGGCACAGGCCAGCAUCAGUUUGGCGCGGGGGACAAAGGCUUCGGGAAUGUAGCUCCCUCGGGAGUGUUAUAGCCCGCUGCGCAAUGCCCUGCGCCGGACUGAGGUACGCGCAUCGCAAGGAUGCUGGCGUAAUGGUCAUCAGCGACCCGUCUUGAAACACGGACCAAGGAGUCGUCUUCGUAUGCGAGUGUUCGGGUGUCAAACCCCUACGCGUAAUGAAAGUGAACGCAGGUGAGAGCUUCGGCGCAUCAUCGACCGAUCCUGAUGUUCUCGGAUGGAUUUGAGUAAGAGCAUACGGGGCCGGACCCGAAAGAAGGUGAACUAUGCCUGUAUAGGGUGAAGCCAGAGGAAACUCUGGUGGAGGCUCGCAGCGGUUCUGACGUGCGAAUCGAUCGUCAAAUAUGGGCAUGGGGGCGAAAGACUAAUCGAAC
rnacentral:rRNA from 1 species